UGGGGAAUAUUGGACAAUGGGCGCAAGCCUGAUCCAGCCAUGCCGCGUGUGUGAAGAAGGCUUUAGGGUUGUAAAGCACUUUCAGUGGGGAGAAAGGUAAUUCACUUAAUACGUGAGUUAAUUGAUGUUACCCACAGAAGAAGCACCGGCUAACUCCGUG
rnacentral:rRNA from 1 species